rnacentral:lncRNA from 1 species
UUCUUCUCAUUUCACUCAACAAUGGAGAUCCCCCAUUCUUCAACAUUAGUCGCCGUACCCUUUCUCCUUAACCUAGAAAACCAUCAGCCAAUGCCUUUCUCUUUCACUCUCAUCUCUUCCCUCCUCUAAUCAUAACCUCACAUACUCACAACCUAUUCAAAAAUUCGGACUCUCACUGAUUUACCAAUCCACUCACCCUCUUUCUUAUGUUUUAGGAGUAGUUUGAGGUUUAAAAUUCUUCGAAAUCCAAAGAGAGCAUAAGUCUAAAAAUAAGAAAAUAAAGGGACUAAGAGGCAAGAGAAAAUCUAAAAAAAGGAGUUUCU